UACGAAGGGGGCUAGCGUUGUUCGGAAUUACUGGGCGUAAAGCGCGCGCAGGCGGCCAUUCAAGUCAGGGGUGAAAGCCCAGAGCUCAACUCUGGAACUGCCCUUGAAACUGUAUGGCUUGAGUAUGAGAGAGGUGAGUGGAAUUCCCAGUGUAGAGGUGAAAUUCGUAGAUAUUGGGAAGAACACCGGUGGCGAAGGCGGCUCUCUGGACCGAUACUGACGCUGAGGCGCGAAAGCGUGGGGAGCAAACAGG
rnacentral:rRNA from 1 species